GUGGGGAAUUUUGGACAAUGGGCGCAAGCCUGAUCCAGCAAUGCCGCGUGCAGGAAGAAGGCCUUCGGGUUGUAAACUGCUUUUGUACGGAACGAAACGGUCCUGGUUAAUACCUGGGGCUAAUGACGGUACCGUAAGAAUAAGCACCGGCUAACUACGUGCCAGCAGCCGCGGUAAUACGUAGGGUGCAAGCGUUAAUCGGAAUUACUGGGCGUAAAGCGUGCGCAGGCGGUUUUGUAAGACAGGCGUGAAAUCCCCGGGCUCAACCUGGGAAUUGCGCUUGGGACUGCAAGGCUGGAGUGCGGCAGAGGGGGAUGGAAUUCCGCGUGUAGCAGUGAAAUGCGUAGAUAUGCGGAGGAACACCGAUGGCGAAGGCAAUCCCCUGGGCCUGCACUGACGCUCAUGCACGAAAGCGUGGGGAGCAAACAGGAUUAGAAACCCGGGUAGUCC
rnacentral:rRNA from 1 species